UACGAAGGGGGCGAGCGUUGUUCGGAAUUACUGGGCGUAAAGGGCGCGUAGGCGGCCGAUCAAGUCAGCUGUGAAAGUCCUGGGCUUAACCUGGGGACUGCAUUUGAUACUGAUUGGCUUGAAUUCGGGAGAGGAUAGCGGAAUUCCCAGUGUAGAGGUGAAAUUCGUAGAUAUUGGGAAGAACACCGGUGGCGAAGGCGGCUAUCUGGACCGACAUUGACGCUGAGGCGCGAAAGCGUGGGGAGCAAACAGG
rnacentral:rRNA from 1 species